CCUCACUCCUGUUUCCUCUGGGCUCAAGUUUGUGGCCAUUAAAUAGAAGAGGAGAAAGUUUGAACCAGGCAUGAAAUAUUUAUCAGAACCUGAAGAACAUCUCUCUUUCUUCACAAGAAGCUUGUAACACAAUAACUACCACUUAUCGAGCCCCUGCUGAAUGCUUGGAUCUAUGCAAAUAAAAUUUAAUCUGAUCUACAGAACAACUCUAUAAGGUACAGCUGUUGGGAGCUGCAUCUCCUACCCUCAGUCUCCCUGUCUGUGGUUCCAGAGGGAAGAAGAGGGGAAAAAAAGGAUGAAGAGAAUUGUUUCAGUGCUGGGGGAGUCUCCCUCUGAUGCCGAGCCAAAGCUGGACUAUACUGCUGCCAUCUCGGCUCACUGCAACCUCCCUGCCUGAUUCUCCUGCCUCAGCCUGCCGAGUGCCUGCGAUUGCAGGCGAGCGCUGCCAUGCCUGACUGGUUUUCGUAUUUUUUUGGUGGAGACGGUGUUUCGCUGUGUUGGCCAGGCUGGUCUCCAGCUCCUAACCGCGAGUGAUCCGCCAGCCUUGGCCUCCCGAGGUGCCGGGAUUGCAGACGGAGUCUGGUUCACUCAGUGCUCAAUGGUGCCCAGGCUGGAGUGCAGUGGCGUGAUCUCGGCUCGCUACAACCUCC